rnacentral:lncRNA from 1 species
GUCCCCGACUCCGCGGCUCUUAGAGGGUGGGCUGUGUCCCGGCUGCGGAAACGCCAACUCCAGGCGAUUGGCGCGAAGGAGGCGAAAAGGGCGGAUUCCCUUUCCGGGUCGCGCCCGGGCUGCAGGUCCUUAUCCGGAAGGGGUUACUAGGUGAACACUGCCGGAGGGAGAGCGCUCUGAAAUCCAUUCUUCAGCCGCACGUGGAAAAUGGACAGCUGUGACUCUUAAAGAGAAUUAAAGCAACAAAGCAUCUCAGCCUGCUCUAUGAGCUGGAUAUUUCGUAGGAAGGAGCCGAUUUGGCGAAAGUUACGUAAACAAUGGAAUUGUCUCAGUUUGCGCCUUUGUUUCGUUUGACAGCCCUCCAGGGAGUCAUAGUGAUUGCUGGAGACGGUGAACUAACACUGUGGGGACCCUUGUGCUAAACGUGUCAAGUGGCACAACAAGGAUAGGAACACGGGUCCUUUGGACUCCACAGCUUCUGCUCCUUCCAGAUUAAGCCACACUGCUUUCUCCAA